CUGCUGGCCUUGGGUUCAAGAAGGCCCAAGUUCAAACUGUGUUUCCAAAUUUUACCAGUUGGGUAACAUUUCUAAUAUUUCUCAGUCUCAGUGUCCUAAAUCGUUAAAUGAAGGAGCUGGAUUUGGUGUCCUCAAAGGUUCCAUGGAGUUACAAGGACAUGAUCGCUUGAGGAUGGCUGGUGCAUACGAUAGCCCGCGGAUGACCAUUCCCUUCGCAUGGAGUGAGGAUCUUAUGCGUUAAUGGGCAAUCUUGGAAGUCAACUUUACCCAGAAUCCAAAAAAAUGAGAAGGAACCAGGCCCAGGACAUGGAGGCAAGGCUGAUUGGUGAUUCUUUCUUCCAGAGCUAGGAGACACAGAGGCCGCCUCACUGUCUGAGCAGCAUGAUUCUUGAGUGGCGACUCAAAUGAGCAGACAUUUAAAGCAAAGCCCAAAAGGGCCAUGAAUGGAUUCAAAAAGGUCCUUGGAUCUUUCCUCCUUUAGAGAGUCCCAGCCGGCAUGCAAAGGCUUUCCUAAUCUAAUGCCUGUUGCCGUAAUGAUUGCCUCUUACCUGCUGUCACCAACUCCACGAACCCAUUAAAUGGCCAAAUCAUUA